CAAUAGCGUAUAUUAAAGUUGUUGCGGUAAAAAAGCUCGUAGUUGGAUUUCUGUUGAGAGCGACCGGUCCAUACCAUGUAUGCGUAUCUGGCUUGCUCUCGGCAUCCUCUCGAUAGACGUUACUGCGCUUGAUUGCGUGGUGCGGAUCUCGGGACUUUUACUUUGAGGAAAUUAGAGUGUUCACGGCAGGCUUUCGCCAGAAUACAUUAGCAUGGAAUAACACUAUAGGAUCUUGGUUCUAUUUUGUUGGUUUCUAGAAUUGAGAUAAUGAUUAAUAGGGACAAUUGGGGGCAUUCGUAUCAACACGUCAGAGGUGGAAUUCUUGGAUUGUGUUGCGACGAACUACUGCGAAAGCAUUUGCCAAGGAUGUUUUCAUUGA
rnacentral:rRNA from 1 species